GACGAACGCUGGCGGCGUGCUUAACACAUGCAAGUCGAACGGAAAGGCCCUGCUUUUGUGGGGUGCUCGAGUGGCGAACGGGUGAGUAACACGUGAGUAACCUGCCCUUGACUUUGGGAUAACUUCAGGAAACUGGGGCUAAUACCGGAUAGGAGCUCCUGCUGCAUGGUGGGGGUUGGAAAGUUUCGGCGGUUGGGGAUGGACUCGCGGCUUAUCAGCUUGUUGGUGGGGUAGUGGCUUACCAAGGCUUUGACGGGUAGCCGGCCUGAGAGGGUGACCGGCCACAAUGGGACUGAGAUACGGCCCAGACUCCUACGGGAGGCAGCAGUUGGGAAUAUUGCACAAUGGGCGGAAGCCUGAUGCAGCAACGCCGCGGGCGGGAUGACGGCCUUCGGGUUGGAAACCGCUUUCGCCUGUGACGAAGCGUGAGUGACGGUAAUGGGUAAAGAAGCACCGGCUAACUACGUG
rnacentral:rRNA from 1 species